rnacentral:rRNA from 1 species
CAGCAGCCGCGGGAAUACGUAGGUGGCAAGCGUUGUCCGGAAUUAUUGGGCGUAAAGGGCUCGCAGGCGGUUUCUUAAGUCUGAUGUGAAAGCCCCCGGCUCAACCGUGGAGGGUCAUUGGAAACUGGGAAACUUGAGUGCAGAAGAGGAGAGUGUAAUUCCACGUGUAGCGGUGAAAUGCGUAGAGAUGUGGAGGAACACCAGUGGCGAAGGCGACUCUCUGGUCUGUAACUGACGCUGAGGAGCGAAAGCGUGGGGAGCGAACAGGAUUAGAUACCCUGUAGUCCCUGUCUCUUAUACA